UACAGAGGUCCCAAGCGUUGUUCGGAUUCACUGGGCGUAAAGGGUGCGUAGGUGGUGAGGUAAGUUUGAUGUGAAAUCUCCGGGCUCAACCCGGAAAUGGCAUUGAAUACUAUCUUGCUAGAGGAGUGGAGGGGGGACUGGAAUACUUGGUGUAGCAGUGAAAUGCGUAGAUAUCAAGUGGAACACCAGUGGCGAAGGCGAGUCCCUGGACACUUCCAGACACUGAGGCACGAAAGCUAGGGGAGCAAACAGG
rnacentral:rRNA from 1 species